CAAUUUGCAAAAUUUUAAAACUUUUUGUUUCAAUUGUGUGCUCAUUUUAAAAUGUUAGCUAAUUCAUUCCUCAUCCCAAAAAUUCCAUUUCAAAAUUUGUGUGGGUUGAGUUGGAUCUUUUUUAUUUUAUUUGGAGUUAAUUCAAUUCAAAAUUCAAACUAAAUCAAAAUUUAACUAAAAACCAAACCUAAAGCAAUCAAACCUAACCUAUCAGACCGG
rnacentral:lncRNA from 1 species